UUCCCCUUUACGGUAAUACCCCAGCAGCUGCACGUAUGUCACUUCACAAGCUCCCCGGCAAGCUAACUCAUCCACCCACGCCAGUGCAGAGAGGCUGGUUAUAACCUCAAUUCUCCAGCCUCUCCCACAGCCUUCCGGGUCUUGUUCCUAUCACAAAUCCUGCUCUACAACACUCAGAGUGUCUCCUCCCCUGACUGAAGCCUGACUGGUAGAGGAGCUUCUCACAUCUGCUGCCACGAGACCAUCCAUGAGGGUACAGGACAAAAGGUUUGAAGUUGCAUUACACUCCUCUACAGAGUCCAUUUACUUUCUACACCUGUGGUCAGAGGAGAACGCAAACUGCACAGAUGAAGAAAUAUAUACAUGAACUGAAAAGCGGGAAAUUUGACAAGAGACUGGCACACAAGGAGAACACCAUGCGAAGAUGAAGGUGGAGAUCAGGGUGAUGCACUGGGAUAAAGAAACUGAGACACAGAAUUUAAGGUCUUUCAGCCUGAAGAUGGUCAAGAUGUAAACCCAAGCUGAUCCAAGGCUCAUACUCAUCACAAGCAUUUAAUACCCAUCAAAGUAUAGUGUCCAUAUUUCUGUUCUUCCCUUCAUUCAGUAUUUGCUGUUGAUUCUACCUCUUUCACAUCUGUUUCCUCAUUUCACAUCUGUACUUUCCUUUAUAUUCCUUUACUGA